rfam:Tnidentified eubacterium SCB49 1103407000329, whole genome shotgun sequence.
AUUAUAACCGAAGUCGAGUACUUCAAAAAGUAAU